rnacentral:misc_RNA from 1 species
GAUGAAGAACGUAGUGAAAUGCGAUACUUGGCGUGAAUUGCAGAAUCCCGUGAACCAUCGAGUCUUUGAACGCAAGUUGCGCCCGAAGCCAUCAGGUUGAGGGCACGUCUGCCUGGGCGUCACAUAUCGUUGCCCAAUGCCUAUUGCAGUGCAAUAGGAAUUUCUAGGGCGAAUGAUGGCUUCCCGUGAGCGUUGUUGCCUCGCGGUUGGUUGAAAAUCGAGUCCUUGGUAGGGUGUGCCAUGGUAGAUGGUGGUCGAGUUAGAACGAUACCGAUCAUGUGCAUGCUCCCCAAAAUAUGGCCUCUAUGACCCACACGCGUCUUUUGACGCUCAUGACGAGACCUCAGGUCAGGCGGGGCUACCCGCUGAAUUUAAGCAUAUCAAUAAGCGGAGGA